rnacentral:lncRNA from 1 species
AACUAAGUCACAGAAGAAGAGAUUUGAAGAAGAACUGAAUGAAAGGAUGAUCCAAGCAAUUGAUGGGAUCAAUGCACAGAAGCAAUGGCUCAAGUCAGAAGACAUUCAAAGAAUCUCCCUGCUUUUCUAUAACAAGAAUAUAGAGAAAGAAUACCGAGCUACUGCACUGCCAGCAUUCAAGUACUACGUGACCUGUGCCUGCCUCAUCUUUCUCUGCAUCUUCAUUGUACAGAUACUUGUAUUGCCAAAAACGUCCAUCCUUGGCUUCUCCUUUGGAGCUGCAUUUCUCUCCCUCAUCUUCAUCCUCUUUGUCUGCUUCGCUGGACAGCUUUUGCAAUGCAGCAAAAAGGCCUCCACCUCUCUCAUGUGGCUUUUGAAAUCAUCAGGCAUCAUCGCCAACCGCCCAUGGCCACGGAUCUCCCUCACAAUCGUCACCACGGCUAUCAUACUAACCAUGGCUGUGUUCAACAUGAGACCAGAAAAGGG